AGGAACAAGAAAUUCCACUACAUGUAAUAGCGGUUUGGUUGUGCAUGAACAGCAAAUGCAUCCGGUGCUGGUUUGUUAACAUGCAAGGGCUGCCACUGUCUUCCUUUAGGAUAACAAGGAUGUCAGUUUCCAGCAAAAUAAUCCAGGAAGAACCCCAGGUCUUACUGUUCAAGACGCAAUGAGGUUGUGACCAUCAGGCUCAAAGCUGUGGAGAAAGAUGUCUGGCCGGGAGACAUACUGAUGUUAUGCUUUACUGAUGUUAUUGCCAACACCUACAAACCAUUCACUACAACUACCACAACGAACAAUGUACUGAUAAUGCAGAAAAUCUGAGCUACCUUUGUGAAAGAGGCCAAGAGAGGAUUGGAUGGUGGAGUUUCAGAUGACACAAUGCUGACUGUUUCCACCCAGCUGAUUUUGCUUCCUACAGGCAACAGAAGGAAGUCUUCACUUUUAUUUUAAACAAUUCAGUUUUAAUGCCCCCAAUUUGUCAAGAUAACAUGUAACUGAACAGAUUGAAAUUACACCAACUUCCUUCAUUAACACAAA